rnacentral:lncRNA from 1 species
GCAAAGGCAAAGGAAGAUGAUGCUCGCGCCUCACGCAUGCUUGCGUCUACGAGCAACGACUUAGUCCGACCCGGGCUGGAAAUAAACGAUUACGACGUCGACGACUCAGAACAAACCUUGACGUUCCUCACCCGAUGGAAAGCUCCGGAGACUCCACCUGAAAAGAUCAUCCACCGCAGCUUAGUCGAGCAAUGCAGCAGACCGAUCCAAAAGCAACUAACGACGAGCGACGUGACACAAAACAAGCUCUCUUUAUCGAACUCGCAAGCGAGGAAGAAGUUUCAGCAGCUUCUUGGCGACGAGUCAGGGGGAAAGGAGAGUGGGUUCACGGUUUACGGACCAGACGGGAAGGUUCAUGAGAUUUGGCUACGUGAGAAGAAGAGGUCGUUUGAUUUGACGAUAGGGUGGUGGACGUUCGUGGAACAGUAUGGGCUCAAGGAGUGUUGCGACUUCGUCACGGUUUGGAUGUUCAGGCACAGUGUCACUCGACGGAUUUGCUUAGCUGUGGAUGUCACAAGGUUUGCGUUCAGGAAACAGGUUAGUAAGAGGAUCUCUCAGGCUGCUUUUCAUGAUUCUGCUUAGAGAGGUUUUCUUUGUGACGUUAAGAGAAAUGUAGAAAGGGAUUUGGGUUUAUAGAUAGACUAUCAAGGAGAUUUUUUGAAUCAAAGAGAAUUUAGGUUUUUAAUUAAGCUAAAUGCAAUCAAUAAGAUGAGGUGAUUCAAUCAAACUAACAAGUUUGAAGAACAACUAACAAGUAACUUUCAAUCAAUUAGAUAAAGGAGGAAUCAUGGGCAUAAGAUUUUGAUUUUAGAUGACUAAGAUUUAAUCUAAAAUGGCAAGGUUUCAAUCAACACAUUUCUUUAAGUCUAGAUAUCAAUUCUAAGCAAGUUCUCUUCCAAGAUAAAAACUCAUUUACUCUCAUGAUCAAACAUCAAAUUCCUUUGGUUUGUGUCAAUAAAGCAAUCAUUAAGAAUGAAUCAUUCAACUUUCUUAACUCUCCUAACAUCAAAUCCCUUUGGUAGGGUAAGCUAAGAACAUGUUGAGUUGGCUCAGACAUUUCAUCGAACACCUUCCGGACAAUGAAAUGUCUAGAGUUCUAAACCAGAAUGACUAACUCUAGCUUAGCAUUAAGAUCACUCAAUCAAGCAAGGAAACAUAUUAAUCUACUCUAAACAUUCUAGAUCAUCACUUAAUCAUCCUAACCCAUGAAUCCAAAGAUGACUACUCACUCAUUAUCAUGAUAAACACUAGAUCAUUAGUUGAUCUAAGUCUAAACAUGAUUAAUGAUCAAAGCAAUCAAGUAAACACAAGAGAAAUUGAUCAAGAUUAGAUCUUUCACCUAAUUUUUUUUGAAAAAGGGAGCAGGCAGUGAGUCGAAACCAAAGUCUUAUAAAUAGAGGAAGUGAUCAUUCAUCUUCCCUCGAGAGAAGAUCCCAAAACAAAAGUCUUUUCUCUCAGUCUCUCUUGAUAUUCCUUCACCGGAGAAAGAAACCGAAACAGAGAUCAUGGCGUCUCAAACGCAAGACGAAGAAGAAGUCCACCACCGCAAGAAAGAAGACGCACUCGACGAAGAACCGGAGCUUAUUGACCUGAACAUAGAAGCCAAACACGAAGACGAUGACAACAUCGUGGCCUCAGAGUCGUCAGAGACAAGGGAAGCAAAGAGGCAGAAAGUGGAACAAGAAGUCAAAGACGCUAAUCAAGAAGACGAUGACGAGAAGAUCGUGGCCUCUGAGUCGUCAGCGACAAGCCAACAAGAAGUCAAAGAUGCUAUUACGAUGAUGGUGCCUUCAACGACAACACCAAGAAGCUUAACUCAAGAAGAAGCAAAGGCAAAGGAAGAUGAUGCUCGCGCCUCACGCAUGCUUGCGUCUACGAGCAACGACUUAGUCCGACCCGGGCUGGAAAUAAACGAUUACGACGUCGACGACUCAGAACAAACCUUGACGUUCCUCACCCGAUGGAAAGCUCCGGAGACUCCACCUGAAAAGAUCAUCCACCGCAGCUUAGUCGAGCAAUGCAGCAGACCGAUCCAAAAGCAACUAACGACGAGCGACGUGACACAAAACAAGCUCUCUUUAUCGAACUCGCAAGCG